UACGAAGGGGGCUAGCGUUGCUCGGAAUUACUGGGCGUAAAGCGCACGUAGGCGGCUUGUUAAGUCAGGGGUGAAAUCCUGGAGCUCAACUCCAGAACUGCCUUUGAUACUGGCGAGCUUGAGUUCGGGAGAGGUGAGUGAAACUGCGAGUGUAGAGGUGAAAUUCGUAGAUAUUCGCAAGAACACCAGUGGCGAAGGCGGCUCACUGGCCCGAUACUGACGCUGAGGUGCGAAAGCGUGGGGAUCAAACAGG
rnacentral:rRNA from 1 species